AAUCAACGCUGGCGGCGUGCCUCAGACAUGCAAGUCGAACGAUUAAACUUUCCUUCGGGAAGAUAUAGAGUGGCGCACGGGUGAGUAACACGUAAGUAAUCUACCCUUGGGUGGGGAAUAACAUCGGGAAACCGAUGCUAAUACCGCAUAAUGCAGCGGCUUCUUAUGAAGACAGUUGUUAAAGCAUUUAUGUGCCUGAGGAGGAGCUUGCGGCAGAUUAGCUAGUUGGUAAGGUAAUGGCCUACCAAGGCGACGAUCUGUAGCCGACCUGAGAGGGUGGUCGGUCACACUGACACUGAAUAACGGGUCAGACUCCUACGGGAGGCAGCAGUCGGGAAUUUUGGGCAAUGGGCGCAAGCCUGACCCAGCAACGCCGCGUGAAGGAUGAAGUAUUUCGGUAUGU
rnacentral:rRNA from 1 species